GACGAACGCUGGUGGCGUGCUUAACACAUGCAAGUCGAACGGGAUUUAGUAAACAGAAGCCUCGGUGGAAGAUUACUAAUGAGAGUGGCGAACGGGUGAGUAACGCGUGAGCAACCUGCCUAUGACAGUGGGAUAGCCUCGGGAAACCGGGAUUAAUACCGCAUAAAAUCGUAGAAACACAUGUUUUAACGGUCAAAGAUUUAUCGGUCAUAGAUGGGCUCGCGUCUGAUUAGCUAGUUGGUGAGAUAACAGCCCACCAAGGCGACGAUCAGUAGCCGGUCUGAGAGGAUGAACGGCCACAUUGGAACUGAGACACGGUCCAAACUCCUACGGGAGGCAGCAGUGGGGAAUAUUGCACAAUGGGGGAAACCCUGAUGCAGCGACGCCGCGUGAACGAAGAAGGUAUUCGUAUCGUAAAGUUCUGUCAUAUGGGAAGAUAAUGACAGUACCAUAGAAGAAAGCUCCGGCUAAAUACGUG
rnacentral:rRNA from 1 species